UACGGGAGGCAGCAGUGGGGAAUAUUGCACAAUGGGGGAAACCCUGAUGCAGCGACGCCGCGUGAAGGAUGAAGUAUUUCGGUAUGUAAACUUCUAUCAGCAGGGAAGAAAAUGACGGUACCUGACUAAGAAGCCCCGGCUAACUACGUGCCAGCAGCCGCGGUAAUACGUAGGGGGCAAGCGUUAUCCGGAUUUACUGGGUGUAAAGGGAGCGUAGACGGCAGUGCAAGUCUGAAGUGAAAGCCCGGGGCUCAACCCCGGGACUGCUUUGGAAACUGUGCAGCUAGAGUGUCGGAGAGGCAAGCGGAAUUCCUAGUGUAGCGGUGAAAUGCGUAGAUAUUAGGAGGAACACCAGUGGCGAAGGCGGCUUGCUGGACGAUGACUGACGUUGAGGCUCGAAAGCGUGGGGAGCAAACAGGAUUAGAUACCCUGGUAGUCCACGCCGUAAACGAUGACUACUAGGUGUCGGGGAGCAAAGCUCUUCGGUGCCGCAGCCAACGCAAUAAGUAGUCCACCUGGGGAGUACGUUCGCAAGAAUGAAACUCAAAGGAAUUGACGG
rnacentral:rRNA from 1 species